GGCCGCAGUAUAUUAACUGUGCAAAGGUAGCAUAAUCAUUAGUCUUUUAAUUGAAGGCUGGUAUGAAUGGUUGGACAAGAUAUUAACUGUUUCAUAAAAAUUUUUAUUAGAAUUUUAUUUUUUAGUCAAAAAGCUAAAAUUUAUUUAAAAGACGAGAAGACCCUAUAAAUCUUUAUAUUUAUAUUAUGAUAAUUUUUUAGAAAUUUUUUAUUAUUAUAAUUUAUAAUAUUUUAUUGGGGUGAUAUUAAAAUUUAAAAAACUUUUAAUUAAAAAUUUCAUUAAUUUAUGAAUUAUUGAUCCAUUAUUAAUGAUUAAAAAAAUAAGUUACUUUAGGGAUAACAGCGUAAUUUUUUUGGAGAGUUCUUAUUAAUAAAAAAGAUUGCGACCUCGAUGUUGGAUU
rnacentral:rRNA from 1 species